rnacentral:pre_miRNA from 1 species
AAGCCCUUACCCAUCUAUCUGAUAGAUACAACUCAGGUAGAGAGGAGGGGUUUGC